UCAAUAAUGCAAAUUAGCUGAGAAACCUUAAUUGUAACUCAAUAUUAACGAAGUCGAACUAACAUGUACUCGUAUAUUUGCAUGUUAGUGCGGAAUACUUUCCUUUCCAAUAAUCAAUAAAGUUAAGGUAUUGCGUAAGAAUCUACCUCGCAUUUAAUUUCGUUACUCAUACAGACCUGUAUCCCUACAAAAUUUAUUCGAAUGCUUAUAGGUGCUUAUGAUCAUCGCGAUCGAUUACCUCGGGUGUGGUCGGUCCAGAAGUGAAAGUACCGUCGUGACAAUAAAGAUUCUACAUUAUUAUGCCUACCAUCUUUCGUGAAACCAUUGUCGACAGUCGAAAGUCCCAUCGAAAAAAAAUAUCCAUUGCUGUAAAUUUCGUUCGUCCGAUACUUUGCUGGAGUUCGCCAUUCCGUGGUGCCAAAUGGAGAUAUUUAUGCUCUGUUAAUCAUUCGACGCUUGAAACUAAUGGAAUCUGUAAAAUAAAGUUCAGCGCCAGCCCAUUAAUAUCAACUUCGACAGACCACGAACACGGUGGUCUGCUGAGGGAGGAUUUCUCGAAGUUGUCAUUAAUCACCGUAUCAAGAACAGGACAACUUAAGAGAGACUUAGAAAGCGUCUGGUUUCCUCCAAUAAUUCCGCUACCAUGUGAUCACUGAAUUGCAAUACCACCAAGUUUAUAUUUACAUACUUGAUCUGACUAUGAUCGUAACUUUAAGGAUAGGUCAAUGCAUAUAUAAUUUAUUUCGUUUUCACGUAUUUCUAUUAAAAGGAAAGCCUACAUCCUCGAAUCAAGUACGAAAUAUGUUACUGCUAAAUUAAAGAGGUCAUUGUUAUGACAGACAGUUAUUCUAAUGAAUACAUGUAUACAUAUACAUAUACAUAUAUACAUUUAUUCUUCAGUUUGCAGAUUGCUACUGAAAUCUAAUGUAAAACUUUUUCGAUUAUAUUAAUCACAUACAUUAAUUACAUCUUUUGAAAUUUUACUACAUUAUAGAAGAUAGUACAAUCAAAUGAUUGAUUUAAAACAGGGAUAUGUUUUACCAAAAUACAUUAAAUUUUUUAAAAUUAUUACCUAAAUAAUUGCAAUUGUAAAAUAGUCGUAAUUAUUUUAAAUGUUUAAUAAUAUACAUCUUUUUAAUGUUUCGUAACGAUUUUAAGAUAUUACUAAUAAGUACAUCUUUACGCCAUCUAUCAUGAACGUAUUUCAAAUUAUAGUUUAUUUAAGAUCAUCAAGUAUGUAUUACCGUAUAUCUAAGAUAAGUGAGUAUUUGCAAAUUAAUAAAUAUGAUUCUCUGUUUUUUUCUCUCUAAAAUAAACAUUUAUCGUAAUUUUUGAUAGAAUAGAAUGUUUAAUAUUUGAAAAUAUAUUUUAUCUGCAUAUGCUUUUCUCGUGUCUAAAUAUCCCGCGAGAUGACGCUCGCGUACCUUUAACGAGAUACUUGUUUAACGACGAGAGGUAAUGUUAAAAAUGUAAGUUAAAUAAUUAUUUAAUUAUUUCAUAGCUAAUUGUUGUAUUGUAUACUUUUCAGUCAUGAGUCAAUUUCUUUUUUUAUAAUUUAGCUCAUUUUAAUACCAAUCGAACUCAUUAUUUCUAAGUAUACACACAAAUAACCUCAAAUUCUUAUUUUACAUAUUCUAUUAGUGUAUCUCACUAUA
rnacentral:misc_RNA from 1 species